rnacentral:rRNA from 1 species
AGAGUUUGAUCAUGGCUCAGAACGAACGCUGGCGGCAGGCUUAACACAUGCAAGUCGAACGCGUGUAGCAAUACACGAGUGGCGCACGGGUGAGUAACGCGUGGAUAUCUGCCUUUUGGUUCGGAAUAACCCCGGGAAACUGGGGCUAAUACCGGAUGGUUCCUACGGGAUAAAGAUUUAUCGCCAAAAGAUGAGUCCGCGUACGAUUAGCUAGUUGGUGAGGUAAUGGCUCACCAAGGCGACGAUCGUUAGCUGGUCUGAGAGGACGAUCAGCCACACUGGGACUGAGACACGGCCCAGACUCCUACGGGAGGCAGCAGUGGGGAAUAUUGGACAAUGGGGGCAACCCUGAUCCAGCCAUGCCGCGUGAGUGAUGAAGGCCUUCGGGUUGUAAAGCUCUUUUGGCGGGGACGAUGAUGACGGUACCCGCAGAAUAAGCCCCGGCUAACUUCGUGCCAGCAGCCGCGGUAAGACGAAGGGGGCUAGCGUUGUUCGGAAUUACUGGGCGUAAAGCGAGUGUAGGUGGUUGUCAUAGUCAGGUGUGAAAGCCUUGAGCUCAACUCAAGAAAUGCACUUGAUACUGGGCGACUAGAGGACCGGAGAGGAUAGUGGAAUUCCCAGUGUAGUGGUGAAAUACGUAGAGAUUGGGAAGAACACCAGUGGCGAAGGCGGCUAUCUGGACGGUUUCUGACACUAAGACUCGAAAGCGUGGGGAGCAAACAGGAUUAGAUACCCUAGUAGUCC